AACCCAGCACUUUGGGAGGCCUAGGCAGGCAGAUCACCUGCGGUCAGGAGUUCAAGACCAGCCUGGCCAACAUGAUGAAACACCAUCUCUAUGAAAAAUACAAAAAUUAGCUGGGUGUGGUGGCAGGCACCAGCUACUUGGGAGGCCUGACCGCAAGUGAUCGUUGGGAGGCCAAGGCCUCAUAAAGUGCUGAGAUUACAGGUGUAAGCCAUGGCGUUCAUCAUGCCACUGCACUCCAGCCUGGGUUACUGGGUAAUAUUUUUUUAAAAUAUUUUAGACUCUGUCUAAAAAAAAAAAAAAAAAAAAAAGAAAGAAAGAAAGAAAGCUUCCUCUUGUAUGGGGAAAGUCACUACUGUAUGUUAAGACUAGGCAUUGAUUUUCAAAUGAUUCACAUUUUCCAUGUAAGAAGAAAAAAGAGCUACGUGUUAUCCUCACAAAUUUGCUGUUAAGUCCAUAUAAUUUAACUACCAGUUGCUUGAUUUUUAGGGUUCUCCAGAGAAAUAGAACCAAUAGGAUAUUGAAACUGAGGACUUUUGCUCAUUUUGCUUUUGUGUAUAUAUGUGUGUAUAUGUGUAUGUAUAUAUACACAAAAGCAUAU
rnacentral:lncRNA from 1 species